GACGAACGCUGGCGGCGUGCUUAACACAUGCAAGUCGAGCGGUAAGGCCCUUUCGGGGGUACACGAGCGGCGAACGGGUGAGUAACACGUGGGUGACCUGCCCUUAGCUCUGGGAUAAGCCUGGGAAACUGGGUCUAAUACCGGAUAUGACUCCAUAAACGCAUGUUGUGGGGUGGAAAGCCUUGUGCGGCUAGGGAUGGGCCCGCGGCCUAUCAGCUUGUUGGUGGGGUGAUGGCCUACCAAGGCGACGACGGGUAGCCGGCCUGAGAGGGCGACCGGCCACACUGGGGACUGAGACACGGCCCAGACUCCUACGGGAGGCAGCAGGUGGGGAAUCUUGCGCAAUGGGCGAAAGCCUGACGCAGCGACGCCGCGUGGGGAUGACGGCCU
rnacentral:rRNA from 1 species